UCUCCGUUGGUGAACCAGCGGAGGGAUCAUUACCGAGUGCAAACUCAUAACCCUUUGUGAACCUAUAUCUGGUGCUUCGGCGGCUCGCUCUCGGGCGAGCCCGCCGGUAAUAUCAGUAUCUCUGUUUGAACCCGACGAUACUUCUGAGUGUUCUUAGCGAACAGUUAAAACUUUUAACAACGGAUCUCUUGGCUCUA
rnacentral:misc_RNA from 1 species